rnacentral:rRNA from 1 species
GCCUGACGCAGCAACACCGCGUGGAGGAUGAAGGCCUUCGGGUCGUAAACUCGUUUUGACGCUGACGAGGAAGGACGGUAGGCGUCGAAGAAGUCACGGCUAACUACGUGCCAGCAGCCGCGGUAAAACGUAGGUGGCGAGCGUUAUCCGGAUUUACUGGGCGUAAAGGGUGUGCAGGCGGGCUGUUAAGUGGUGUAUGAAAUAUCCCGGCUCAACCGGGAAGGGUUAUGCCAGACUGGCAGUCUAGAGAGCGAGAGAGGGACGUGGAAUUCCGGGUGUAGUGGUGAAAUGCGUAGAGAUCCGGAGGAACCCCAGAGGCGAAGGCGGCGUCCUGGCUCGCAUCUGACGCUCAGACACGACAGCAUGGGGAGCGAACGGGAUUAGAAACCCCGGUAGUCCAUGCCGUAAACGAUGCCAACUAGGCGCUGGCGGUCUCAACCCCGUCGGUGCCGCAGUUAACACGAUAAGUUGGCCGCCUGGGGAGUACGGUCGCAAGGCUA